AUCUGUGGCCAUACCAUCCUGAGAAUGCCUGAUCUCAUAAGCUAAGUAGGAUUGGGUCUGGUUAAGACUUGGAUAGGAGGAAGAGAGAUGGCAGGCAUCCCUUCUU
rnacentral:rRNA from 1 species